AGAAGAAAGCUAUCUCUAGCAAUAUGGUUUCGACCCAUAAAGUGAAUUUACACUAAUUCUCUUCUA
rnacentral:tRNA from 1 species